AACAGGGAUUUCUAUGAAAAUAAGCGAUAUUUAAGGGGAAAAACAGGGAUUUCUAUGAAAAUAAGCGAUAUUUAAGGGGAAAAACAGGGAUUUCUAUGAAAAUAAGCGAUAUUUAAGGGGAAAAACAGGGAUUUCUAUGAAAAUAAGUGAUAUUUUAGGGUUAAAAACAGGGAUUUCUAUGAAAAUAAGCGAUAUUUUAGGUUAAAAACAGGGAUUUCUAUGAAAAUAAGCGAUAUUUAAGGUUAAAAACAGGGAUUUCUAUGAAAAUAAGCGAUAUUUAAGGGGAAAAACAGGGAUUUCUAUGAAAAUAAGCGAUAUUUGAGGUUAAAAACAGGGAUUUCUAUGAAAAUAAGCGAUAUUUAAGGUUAAAAACAGGGAUUUCUAUGAAAAUAAGCGAUAUUUAAGGGGAAAAACAGGGAUUUCUAUGAAAAUAAGCGAUAUUUAAGGUUAAAAACAGGGAUUUCUAUGAAAAUAAGCGAUAUUUAAGGGGAAAAACAGGGAUUUCUAUGAAAAUAAGCGAUAUUUAGUUGUUAAAAACAGGGAUUUCUAUGAAAAUAAGCGAUAUUUAAGGGGAAAAACAGGGAUUUCUACGGAGAUAAGCGAUAUUUAACGUUAAAAACAGGGAUUUCUAUGAAAAUAAGCGAUAUUUAAGGUUAAAAACAGGGAUUUCUAUGAAAAUAAGCGAUAUUUUAGGUUAAAAACAGGGAUUUCUAUGAAAAUAAGCGAUAUUUAAGGUUAAAAACAGGGAUUUCUAUGAAAAUAAACGAUAUUUUAGGUUAAAAACAGGGAUUUCUAUGAAAAUAAGCGAUAUUUUAGGUUAAAAACAGGGAUUUCUAUGAAAAUAAGCGAUAUUUAAGGUUAAAAACAGGGAUUUCUAUGAAAAUAAGCGAUAUUUGAGGUUAAAAACAGGGAUUUCUAUGAAAAUAAGCGAUAUUUAAGGGUUAAAAACAGGGAUUUCUAUGAAAAUAAGCGAUAUUUAAGGUUAAAAACAGGGAUUUCUAUGAAAAUAAGCGAUAUUUAAGGUUAAAAACAGGGAUUUCUAUGAAAAUAAGCGAUAUUUGAGGUUAAAAACAGGGAUUUCUAUGAAAAUAAGCGAUAUUUUAGGGUUAAAAACAGGGAUUUCUAUGAAAAUAAGCGAUAUUUAAGGUUAAAAACAGGGAUUUCUAUGAAAAUAAGCGAUAUUUUAGGUUAAAAACAGGGAUUUCUAUGAAAAUAAGCGAUAUUUUAGGUUAAAAACAGGGAUUUCUAUGAAAAUAAGCGAUAUUUAAGGUUAAAAACAGGGAUUUCUAUGAAAAUAAGCGAUAUUUAAGGUUAAAAACAGGGAUUUCUAUGAAAAUAAGCGAUAUUUGAGGUUAAAAACAGGGAUUUCUAUGAAAAUAAGCGAUAUUUGAGGGUUAAAAACAGGGAUUUCUAUGAAAAUAAGCGAUAUUUAAGGGGAAAAACAGGGAUUUCUAUGAAAAUAAGCGAUAUUUGAGGUUAAAAACAGGGAUUUCUAUGAAAAUAAGCGAUAUUUGAGGUUAAAAACAGGGAUUUCUAUGAAAAUAAGCGAUAUUUAAGGGGAAAAACAGGGAUUUCUAUGAA